CUAGUACACUGAACUAUAUGUAUACAUGGAUGGAAGGUUAAGCCAAAAUGGCGGCUCGAUCGGGAAGUCAUUCUCGGACGUCAAUUUUAUAAUAAGUUCCAGACUUUACUGUAAUAGUUUCAGUUGGCAGGUUUCAGUUCGUUUGAGCUGAUAAACCUUCAAUGUACAGUAUAUAUAGUUCAGUUGUACUGUAAUACAUGCAUCUACAUGCACCAAUUGAAAAAUGAAAUAUAAAGUCUUAAAAGAUCAAAGAGGUAAGAUAAAACAGUCUUAAUAUAUCUAUAUAUAUAUAGUGUUUAAGGCCAUGAGGCAAUUUUUGGUGCAACUUGUAAUGCAACUUCUGGCAUAUAUAGAAAUGUUAUGUAAAACGUAAUCAGAGUAAAUUUAAGGUCGCUGAAUCUCAGUUAAUACUUUUUAUGUGAUGUUAUUAUAAAUAUACUGUACAUCAAUCUAUGUGGCAGAAGUUGCAACAAAAAUUGCCUCGUGUAAGAUUGCUUAAAAUGGCUAUAGCACAUUUUUAGCAGUUUCAAUCAUCAUCUUCGAUCAUAAUUGUAUUGAGCUUGUUCACAAAUAGGUUAUCACAGAAGCCAGUAGCUUCUUGCUGUUGUUUAUGUUUAUGUUUAUGUUUAGUAGCUUUAGUACAUAAGACUACCUGGGUACUGUCCAUAUAUUAAGUACAUAAUUUGUAGCCACAAAUGCCACAGCUACAUCUACCAGCCAUUUUCAGGAGAUAUAAAGGACCAUGGUUUCGGCAACAACGGCCAUCAAUCUCGUUGCAGUCGUUGCAGUUUUCAAUGUUUCCCUUUACCAGAAUUUGGGGGGUUACCAUGCAUAUUACAAGCUGACAGCAUCCUCAAAGCUUUCAUCCUUAUGCCAAAAUAAGAAAUGUAAUGAGAUUACACAUUUAAUUUUUAUUUACAGCAUGCCUGGCACAAGCAUGCAGUAUAUAUAAGGCCAAAUUAAAUAAAAACUUGGCAUCACCGCUCGCCUCUCGAUUUCUGCUGCCUCUUUUUUAUGUAAAUCUCUUCGUUUUACAGCUUAAACAGUUUAAUAUUUGAAUUUUUUUUCAUGCUCAGACCUUCGCGCUAUAUAUACUGAUCGAUAGGAGCGUGUGGGCUUGGGUAUACAGAAUUCUUAUAGUAAAAUGGCGCCAUUCGCAACAUCAGUACAAAAAAUUUCACCGAUAUGGUAGAAAAACCGCCCCCAUCCCCCCUUUAAAAAUUUAAAAAUGACUAAAAAUUUAAAAAACACUGCCCGCCCCCCUCUGAAAAUUUGUGAGAAUGUGACGCUAACCAAAUAUUUUUUUCAUUUGGCCUAAGCACAGGUUCGCAGAAGCUAGCUUCACCAUUCCCCCCAAUGGGCAAACCCAUGUAGUAAUUGUUUCUUACUGAGUUAAUACUUAAUGAAUUAAUAUAAGUAAAAAUAUAUAUAAUUUAUAUACAAGUACAUUUUAGUUCAUGAAAUGCUAAAAACUGCUGAAUGCUAAAAUAUAUCUUUCAUUUGCUACCGGUAUACACAGUAUUUGACCAUGCAAAAUAGAAAAUUGUCAAUAUUUAUACAGAAGGUAUAUAUCCAUGCAUCUCCCCUUUCAUGAUCAUGCAGCUUGUUUGACCAUGCCACUCAAAAGUGGUGCUGGUAAAAGGUGGCAAGUACCAGCCUUACAAAACAACAGUAAACUGCAUCAGCAUAUAUUUGUUCCCGCUGAUAGAUGGCUUUAAGAUGUGCCACCUGAGUGAGCUAUUGGUCAAAGGCGGCAAGUACCAGCCUUACACAAAAGCUGAAAACAGCACUACUAAAUAAAGAUCAAAAUUCAAAACAAACUGUAUUGUUGUUUAAGUUCAUUACCUUUGCUGUUUUAACUUGCAUGUUCAUUUUUGUUUAAUAUAAGUAAAAAUAUAUAUAAAGUAUUAUGCAAGUACAUUUUGGUUCAUGCAAUAUGCUAAAAAGUGCUAAAUAUCAUAUAGAUAGAGCAAAAUAUACUGUAUGUAUAUAUAUAAUGCUAACCUACUGUUUCUUUCAUUUGCUAUAUAUUUGACCAUGAUGCAAAAUAGAAAAUUGUCAAUACAGAAGGUAUACAUUCAUGCAUCUCCCCUUUCAUGAGCGGCUUGUUUGACCAUGCCACUCAAAAGAAGUGCUGGUAAAAGGCGGCAAGUACCAGCCUUACACAACAACAGUAAACUGCAUCAGCAUGAAUGUAUACAAGCUUUGAAUUAUGUCAUAGCAGUUCCCACUGACAGGUGGCUCUAAGAUGUGCCACCUGAGUGAGCUAUUGGUCAAAGGCGGCAAGUACCAGCCUUACACAAAAGCUGAAAACAGCACUACUAAGAUCAAAAUUCAAAACAAACUGUAUUGUUAUUUAAGUUCAUUACCUUUGCUGUUUUAACUCACAAGUUCAUUUUGUCUAAUAUAAGUAAAAUUGUAAUUAUUGUAAUUGUAAUAUAUAUAAUUUAUAUACGAGUACAUUUUGGUUCAUGAAAUGCUAAAAAGUGCUAUUUUUAAAUUAUCAUAUAGAUAGAGGAAAAUAUACUGCAUGCAUAUGUAUAUACUAACCUACUGUUUCUUUCAUUUGCUAUAUAUUUGACCAUGAUGCAAAAUAGAAAAUUGUCAAUACAGAAGGUAUACAUUCAUGCAUCUCCCCUUUCAUGAGCGGCUUGUUUGACCAUGCCACUCAAAAGAAGUGCUGGUAAAAGGCGGCAAGUACCAGCCUUACACAACAACAGUAAACUGCAUCAGCAUGAAUGUAUACAAGCUUUGAAUUAUGCCAUAGCAGUUCCCACUGACAGGUGGCUCUAAGAUGUGCCACCUGAGUGAGCUAUUGGUCAAAGGCGGCAAGUACCAGCCUUACACAAAAGCUGAAAACAGCACUACUAAGAUCAAAAUUCAAAACAAACUGUGUUUAAGUUCAUUACUAUUGCUGUUUUAACCCACAAGUUCGUUUCUAUUAAUAAAUCUACUGUUUCCUCCUUUACUAUAUUUCGACUAUGCAAAGUUAAAAAUCAUGCACCCCCUCAUCUGAGUCAAAGAUUUCAUGUAGAAAACUGUGGAAAAGAGACUUCCAGAGUCAACUUUUAAGGCCAACCAUACCUCUCAUACAUGUUACAGUAGAUAUAGUAGCUGCUGCGUGAUCAUUGGAUCACCGUUCUGCAUAACCUGCUAUAUUAUUGACUUUCAAGCUGUUUUAAAAAUAUGAAAGUAAAACCAACCUUGAUCGUUGAGCCAAGCUUGUCCAUCAAUCAUAUUGUCUAAAAAAUCAGUGAAUGUCAUCUUAAUUAUUCUUUUCAUGUUUCCCUUUAGUUUCUGAAUGGCGAAUAACAGUUUUACCAUGCAUUCGUAAUAGGUGUCAAGUUUUAGCGUUACAAUAUAAAGCCAACAUAGUAGGAUGAAUAUUAUUGCCUUCCUAUCUGCAUAGAAUUUGGAAUUUAGCCGUUGGCGAGCAAUUGAAAAUAAUUUUCACAUUGGGGAACAUAGCUACUCACAUAUUGUCACAUGCGACCCUUUGUUAUACAAUAAACGUUAUAAACCUAGGCAUAAUAUUUACACUCGGUCUUUCUGAUCAAUCUGAUGUCUGGCAAUGAUCAUAUUACUAACAGCAAAUUUCGCACGAAUGGUGAUUCAAAAGAAGGAUUUUACGCGCAAACACCAUAAUCAAUGCUGUACAGUUAAAUAGCACCUAGCGUUUACAUUUUUUAAUAGAUUGGGUCACAGUGCGGUGAACAUAUACUGAAAAUCUGCAGAAGAUAGUGCCGGUACAUAUGACACACCGGAGGCGUUUCAAAAACGCGGCGCGAUUUUUGAAUUUUCAAAGUAAAUGAAACCGCUAACGAAAGGAACGUUUAAAAUAUAUAUACCAAAUGACUCAAUAUGUUAGAGCGCAAUCUUUGAAAAACUUAAAUCCGGAUCAAAGUUACAUAUAUCGAUGAGAAUCGAAAAAUAGCGCCGCGUUACCGAAUUGCGUCGUCUGUCUGCUCGCGGCACAAUAUGCCCAUCGUAGAACAUACCUUUAAAACUUUCACAGUAGUCGGCAAAGUCAACUUUGAUCAACCACUCUCGAACGUCUUUCUUUAACAUCUUCAACAAAUAAAUUCUUGUUGUGUUCAACAAAAAUUAGAUGACUCGAGCGCCUUUACAGUGAACACGUUGACUGACCGUGGACCGACAGAUUGACAGAAUAUAGGAUGCAAUUUGACUAUGCCGCGUUUACAGCCCGCAUGGAUUUCUCCGUCGAUGAUUGGUUAAUGGCUGGAAUGACGUUAGUUGCUGCCGCAGCGAGCGAGCCUGAAGCGAGCGAGCAAGGCAGCAGAUCCUAAUUUUGUUUUGUGGGUCGAAAUCAAAAUUUUCUAUUUGGCGCAUUGCAUGACGGUACCAGUGAAUUUUAACCGUGGUGCAGCGUGGUCAGGCAUAAGGCAAACAGGCAAUGUGAUCAUGUUUCAUCUUUGGUCUUCUUUUAUAUGGAAAGCCAUAGCUCGGGCUUAAAGUGAUCAAACGGCAUUUUGUUGGGUGCUUUUAGCAUUAUAUGCGGUGCUUUUGGCAUUAUACACGGUGCUUUCGCCAUUAUACGCGGUGGUUCCAGUAUUAUACGCGGUGCUUUCACCAUUUAUAUACGCGAUGCUUUUGCAAUUAUACGCAGUGGUUCGAGCACUUAUGCGGUGCUUUUAAUAUUUAAUAUACGCGAUGCUAGCUUUCAUUCAACAUUAUUUCCAUAUUCUUUCCAUGACAUGUAUAUGAUUUAACGAUUGCUUAAAUUUGGUAUGUGCAUGGUUGACAAAUGCUGUUUGCCUAUGGUCUGCAAGGACAAUGACAUGCUUUUCUGUGUAUAUACAUGUAAAUGAAUAUAACGCAGCGAAUGCGCCAAACAGUAUAAACGCGGCUGAAAUAUGAUAUUAAAAUCUUAAAUGUGCCGUAUGAUUUAAUUAUGUUUUAGGAUUUACAAAUACUUUGUCAUUUGUAUUUAUACUUGUGCUGCAUCACAAGGCAGUACGUACUGUAAGUGAAAAAAACUCCACAUGCGAGGUUGUCUUGUAUAUAUUUUUGCUUUCCUCGAUAAACACUAUUAAACACGCAUAUUUUAAUUAGUGAGACGCAAUGUUAAAUGUCACCUGCAUGUCAUUGUCAUGGUCUAAUUGGCCGCUUUUGAAAAUAUUGAUCAUGACGAACCGCACUGCCUUAAUUAAAUGCAAACUUUGUGUUUUAAAAACGGGUUAGGAUAAAACGCGGAUACGGACGGACGGAUGAAUGACGGACGGACCGGACGGAUGACAUAUAUAUAUGUCGUUAUAUAGUCUGCGCGCAGCCGCGCAGGGUAGUUAGUGCCUUACGUCUUCGCUGGUUGUUAUACUUUAAAAUAAUUUUGUAUGUACCGAGAAAUCAAUAUUCCGAGUAUAUAAAUGUAUAAACUGGGAUGUCACACUGAUAGCUUGUUUACAUUUCCUGGAGCAUCAUGAAAUCUUAUGUUUAACCACGGUGGUUUAACCCAUUAGCUGGCAAUGCGCCCUUCCCUUGUCGAGCGCCAGAAGAUUUUACUCGUCAGUGGUAUAGGUUACUGCCAGUAAAUGGGUUAACAAACCUAUCUGCCAAUGGCUCUUGUUAAUUAAUUCAUCAGCACAGUAAUGACCCCUACUUUAGUAUUUACCCUGUCCAACGCCAGACGAUUUUUAAUACUCAGUCAGUGGUAGGGUACUGUCAAUAAAUGGGUUAACAAGGAUAACAAUAAUUAGCCUGCAUGGCAGGCAGUAUUUCCCAGGCUUGCCCAAUUUUAGGAACCGCCUGCCAUGCAGGCUAAACAAUAAUAGGAUGUUUCCGAAGGACUCGUUCAACACCCUGUUUGUCUUUUGCUGUCAAAGGCAGCAUUACUGCCCUGUGGGUAACCUAGUUAUACUAUAAUUAGGAAGUUUGUAACAAAGACCCACAUCCUGUAUAACACUUCUCGCUAGACGAUUUAUGAAAAGGGAAAAGUGUGACAGGACGUGAGUGUAUUGCUAGAGGAUUAACACGAAGAGCAAAAUAUUUUGCUAGAUUUAAAACCUGAAUCAGUCUAAACGAUUAUAAUAUUAUCUAUUAAGAAUUAAUUAAAGUAAAAUUUCCAUUUAUUAUUCAACUUUCUGUUGCAGGACUUGGGUUAAGUCAAGAUUUUUGGCAGUGGCUAUUCUGAAGGUUGUGUCAUUAUUACUAGUCAACCUUUGGUAAAAUAAGUAAAGUUUUACUUGCGAUGGGAAACAUUCUAUUUCCAGCCCCUUGGCAUCCACCAAGAUUUGAUAAUGCAAAUAAACUGUUCGUUGUUUUGCGCUAUGGAUUAGAUUGCUUACAAUAAACUGUUAAUAUUUGCUUAACUUGAAAGUUGCACAAAAUAAUGCAGAUUUCUGUAACUGUAUAGCUACUGAUAUGAGAUAAUAUGAAAAUUGGUUUUGUUAAUCAAAA
rnacentral:lncRNA from 1 species